GACGAACGCUGGCGGCGUGCUUAACACAUGCAAGUCGAACGGAAAGGCCCUGCUUUUGUGGGGUGCUCGAGUGGCGAACGGGUGAGUAACACGUGAGUAACCUGCCCUUGACUUUGGGAUAACUUCAGGAAACUGGGGCUAAUACCGGAUAGGAGCUCCUGCUGCAUGGUGGGGGUUGGAAAGUUUCGGCGGUUGGGGAUGGACUCGCGGCUUAUCAGCUUGUUGGUGGGGUAGUGGCUUACCAAGGCUUUGAAGGGUAGCCGGCCUGAGAGGGUGGACGGCCACAUUGGGACUGAGAUACGGCCCAGACUCCUACGGGAGGCAGCAGUGGGGAAUAUUGCACAAUGGGCGGAAGCCUGAUGCAGAAACGCCGCGUGCGGGAUGACGGCCUUCGGGUUGUAAACCGCUUUCGCCUGUGACGAAGCGUGAGUGACGGUAAUGGGUAAAGAAGCACCGGCUAACUACGUG
rnacentral:rRNA from 1 species